UUCAUGUCCGAACAUGAAAUUCAUUUUAAUGUUCCAGCUAUAGUUGGCAUAAAACGACAUUUCUCUAAUUUCAAUACUAAACCAAAAGGCAAUGGUAAGAAGUAUAUUCAUACAAGUAAUGUAGCAACCUUUGCUCAUCUCCAACGUGUAUGUCAACUUCUCCCUUUCGCAGUGGUCUACUUCUUUUUAGUUUCUCCAUAUUUGUAUAAAUACGAUAUUUACACCUGGUAUCAUAUACCUAAGAAACUCGUGAAGUAGACGUAAGCCAUACAAUAUUCCUUCCAAUGACCUUUCAUUCUAUAAUGAAACCAAGGGU
rnacentral:lncRNA from 1 species